rnacentral:rRNA from 1 species
UACGUAGGGGCAAGCGUUGUCCGGAUUUAUUGGGCGUAAAGAGCGUGUAGGCGGCCAAGCAGGUCCGCUGUGAAAACUCGAGGCUCAACCUCGAGACGUCGGUGGAAACCGUUUGGCUAGAGUCCGGAAGAGGAGAGUGGAAUUCCCGGUGUAGCGGUGAAAUGCGCAGAUAUCGGGAAGAACACCCGUGGCGAAGGCGGCUCUCUGGGACGGUACUGACGCUGAGACGCGAAAAGCGUGGGGGAGCGAACAGG